CCUUUUCCUAUUGAGCCACUAAAUUUCUCUAUAUAGUCUACUGACCCCCUCCCUAGUAGUGUCUCGUUUCUCAUUUGGUCAAAAACACUCAAAACCCAUCACUACUUCCACUCAAAACAAACCCACAGAGAGAAAAUGGAACCACCAAGAACUCAAGGCAUGAAUAUAUCUGCUGCAGGAGAAGAUGAACAAGACAAGAUCAUCAACGAAUGUUGCUCAUGCUGUUAUGAUUGCACAGAUAGUUGCUUUGAUUUCUUAUGCUGUUAUCUCUGCUAGAAGUUGGAAAUAUUUCUUCUCUGUUUCAAUUUCUCUAGUUUGUUCAAUGGGAAAACCACUGUGACUUUCUUCUUUAUUUUUCUCUCUGAAAUUAAAGAGCUUAUUAUGGAAAAAAAAAAUACUGUAAAAGAUUUUGCAUUUUUCACCUUCCUUAAAUUAUUCUUGUUUGUGACUUUGUAAACGUAGGUGACGAAGACUUGCUAUAUAAUUAUGAUUGUGUCAA